UGUGGGAGCGAGCUUGCUCGCGAUGGCGUCGGCCCAUCCAAUAUUGAUGCAAGCUGACCCACCGCUAUCGCGAGCAAGCUCGCUCCCACA
rnacentral:misc_RNA from 1 species